rnacentral:rRNA from 1 species
CCUACGGGAGGCAGCACUAGGGAAUAUUGCUCAAUGGGGGAAACCCUGAAGCAGCAACGCCGCGUGGAGGAUGAAGGUUUUCGGAUUGUAAACUCCUUUUGUUAGGGAAGAUAAUGACGGUAUCUAACGAAUAAGCACCGGCUAACUCCGUGCCAGCAGCCGCGGUAAUACGGAGGGUGCAAGCGUUACUCGGAAUCACUGGGCGUAAAGAGCGCGUAGGCGGGAUAGCAAGUCAGAUGUGAAAUGCUAUGGGUUAACCAUAGAACUGCAUUUGAAACUGUUAUUCUAGAGUAUGGGAGAGGUAGGUGGAAUUCUUGGUGUAGGGGUAAAAUCCGUAGAGAUCAAGAGGAAUACUCAUUGCGAAGGCGACCUGCUAGAACAUAACUGACGCUGAUGCGCGAAAGCGUGGGGAGCAAACAGGAUUAGAUACCCCAGUAGUC